GUCGCACCGCCCCCUUGGCCUCUACUUCGUAGUUGUCCGUACGACGACUGCUCCUUACGUUUGAAAAGCUUGCGAUUUCUGCCACUUAGCCUCCGUCCGCGUCUUUGAAGAAAGCUAUCGUAUCCACGCAACUUCGUAGUAGUGGCCUCACUUAGUGAAAUUGGAUACUAAGUUGUUUCUUCCUUACUUAGCCAAAUCUCGGCUCCUUUCCUAUCGUAUCACCCACUUCAAUCAAUCCGGCCUUCGUAACUUGGUAAAUCUUAAACC
rnacentral:lncRNA from 1 species